rnacentral:rRNA from 1 species
AGGGAAUUUUCGGCAAUGGGCGAAAGCCUGACCGAGCAAUGCCGCGUGAAUGAAGAAAUUCUUCGGAAUGUAAAAUUCUGUGGUGAGGGAAGAAAAGUAUUAGAAGGAAAUGGCUAAUAUUUGACGGUACCUUACUAGAAAGCCCCGGCUAACUAUGUGCCAGCAGCCGCGGUAAUACAUAGGGGGCAAGCGUUAUCCGGAAUUAUUGGGCGUAAAGCGUGCGUAGGCGGCCACUUAAGUCUGUCGUGAAAGCCCACAGCUUAACUGUGGAGGGUCGAUGGAAACUGGGAGGCUUGAAUCUAGGAGAGGUAAGUGGAAUUCCAUGUGUAGCGGUAAAAUGCUUAGAUAUAUGGAGGAACACCAGUGGCGAAGGCGGCUUACUGGUCUAGAAUUGACGCUGAUGCACGAAAGCGUGGGUAGCAAACAGGAUUAGAUACCCUGGUAGUCCACGCCGUAAACGAUGAGCACUAAGUGUCGGACGUAAGUUCGGUGCUGAAGUUAACGCAUUAAGUGCUCCGCCUGGGGAGUACGGUCGCAAGACUGAAACUCAAAGGAAUUGACGGGGACUCGCACAAGCGGUGGAGCAUGUGGUUUAAUUCGACGCAACGCGAAAAACCUUACCAGGCCUUGACAUACCGAUGACGUCUUUAGAGAUAGAGAGUUACCUUCGGGUACAUUGGAUACAGGUGGUGCAUGGUUGUCGUCAGCUCGUGUCGUGAGAUGUUGGGUUAAGUCCCGCAACGAGCGCAACCCUUAUCAUUAGUUGCUAACAGUCAGAUGAGCACUCUAAUGAGACUGCCAGCGAAAAGUUGGAGGAAGGUGGGGAUGACGUCAAAUCAUCAUGCCCCUUAUGGCCUGGGCUACACACGUGCUACAAUGGCUGGUACAAAGAGGAGCGAAGCUGUGAAGUGGAGCAAAUCUCAAAAAGCCAGUCUCAGUUCGGAUUGUAGUCUGCAACUCGACUACAUGAAGUUGGAAUCGCUAGUAAUCGUAAAUCAGCAUGUUACGGUGAAUACGUUCUCGAGUCUUGUACACACCGCCCGUCACACCAUGAGAGUUUGUAAUACCCGAAGCCGGUGGCUUAACCGCAAGGAGAGAGCCGUCUAAGGUAGGACAGAUGAUUGGGGUGAAGUCGUAACAAGGUAUCCCUACGAGAACGUGGGGAUG